GGAUUCAGAGCUCUUUGCUGCAAUGGACUGGCAGUGAUAUUGGAUCUUGCAACAGCAGAUCUCAGCCAGGUGAAGAGCCCUCUGACUUCUUCCAAAGCUGAUUCCUUGCUAGUGAUUUUUUCACUGAGGAAUUUUAAGGGAGUUCUGAAUCCCAGACUUCUUGUCCCUCAAAACUUGCAUUCCAACAAUGCAACAGGUGCUCUCUUCUGGCUGAAAUGUCACUUCCUCAGAUGACAGGAGUCGACUCUUCAUCUUUAAAUUCUAUAAAUAAGUAUGUAUCAUGCUUGCCAUUACUAAACAAAUAACUUCUAUAAGCCACAAGGCUGAAAACUGUACCUUUAGUCCUGGUGUGGCAAACUGCCCAGUUGCCAGGGUACAGGGUGAAAUCCUGGUGGCACUGAUAUACCCACUGACCUAUAGAUCUAUCUGUAUUAUUUUCAGGGGACAAAGUGUUCAAGAUAGGUUCAACAUUUUAGUGCCUUGUUUAUCUUUAAGCUCAUCUAUUCUGA